rnacentral:rRNA from 1 species
GCAAGCGUUGUCCGGAAUCAUUGGGCGUAAAGAGCGUGUAGGCGGCUCGAUAAGUCGGCUGUGAAAGUCCAGGGCUCAACCCUGGAAGGCCGGUGGAAACUGUCGGGCUAGAGUCCGGAAGAGGCGAGUGGAAUUCCCGGUGUAGCGGUGAAAUGCGUAGAUAUCUGGAGGAACACCGGUGGCGAAGGCGGCAUCCUGGACCGGCAUUGACGCUGAGGCGCGAAAGCCAGGGGAGCAAACGGG